GACGAACGCUGGCGGCGUGCUUAACACAUGCAAGUCGAACGGAGUGGCGAACGGGUGAGUAACAAGUGGGUGACUUGCCCUGCACUUCGGGAUAAGCCUGGGAAGCUGGGUCUCAUACUGGAUCGUGUGGUAUGGGCCCGCGGCCUAUUAGCUUGUUUGUGGGGUAAUGGCAUUCCAAGGCGGCGACUGGUAGCCUGCCUGAGAGGGGGGACGGCCACAGUGGGACUGAGACACGGCGCAGACUCCGACGGGGGGCAGCAGUGGGGAAUAUUGCACAAUGGGCGGAAGCCUGAGGCGGCGACACCGCGUGGGGGAUGACGGCCUUCGGGUUGUAAACUCCAUGAACCAUAGACGCGGUAGAUGGAGAAGAAGCACCGGCUAACUACGUGCCAGCAGCCGCGGUAAUUC
rnacentral:rRNA from 1 species